CACCGAAGCUGCGGCAGCGAACGUAUCACCCAAGACAACUUUACGGAGUUGACGAUUGACGGAGCGAAGCGACGUCAAAGCGUUCAUUAAAGUCGAGUUGGCUUAGGGAUACGUUCGUUGGGUAGGGGAGCGUUCUGUAAGCCUGUGAAGGUGUGUCGUGAGGCAUGCUGGAGGUAUCAGAAGUGCGAAUGCUGACAUAAGUAACGAUAAAGCGGGUGAAAAGCCCGCUCGCCGGAAGACCAAGGGUUCCUGUCCAACGUUAAUCGGGGCAGGGUGAGUCGACCCCUAAGGCGAGGCCGAAAGGCGUAGUCGAUGGGAAACGGGUUAAUAUUCCCGUACUUGGUGUUACUGCGAAGGGGGGACGGAGAAGGCUAUGUUGGCCGGGCGACGGUUGUCCCGGUUUAAGCGUGUAGGUGUGUGUUCCAGGUAAAUCCGGUUCACUUUAACACUGAGGCGUGACGACGAGGCACUACGGUGCUGAAGCAACAAAUGCCCUGCUUCCAGGAAAAGCCUCUAAGCAUCAGGUAACACGAAAUCGUACCCCAAACCGAC
rnacentral:rRNA from 2 species